GAUGAACGCUGGCGGCGUGCCUAAUACAUGCAAGUCGAGCGAAUGGAUUAAGAGCUUGCUCUUAUGAAGUUAGCGGCGGACGGGUGAGUAACACGUGGGUAACCUGCCCAUAAGACUGGGAUAACUCCGGGAAACCGGGGCUAAUACCGGAUAACAUUUUGAACCGCAUGGGUCGAAAUUGAAAGGCGGCUUCGGCUGUCACUUAAGGAUGGACCCGCGUCGCAUUAGCUAGUUGGUGAGGUAACGGCUCACCAAGGCAACGAUGCGUAGCCGACCUGAGAGGGGGAUCGGCCACACUGGGACUGAGACACGGCCCAGACUCCUACGGGAGGCAGCAGUAGGGAAUCUUCCGCAAUGGACGAAAGUCUGACGGAGCAACGCCGCGUGAGUGAUGAAGGCUUUCGGGUCGUAAAACUCUGUUGUUAGGGAAGAACAAGUGCUAGUUGAAUAAGCUGGCACCUUGACGGUAUCUAACCAGAAAGCCACGGCUAACUACGUGCCAGCCGCCGCGGUAA
rnacentral:rRNA from 1 species